rnacentral:rRNA from 1 species
GCGCACCAGUCGAGAAUUUUUCUCAAUGGGCGAAAGCCUGAAGGAGCGACGCCGCGUGGAGGAUGAAGGCUUUCGGGUUGUAAACUCCUGUCAUUUGAGAGCAAGUGUAGCCAAAUAACUACUGGCUACUUGAUAGUAUCAGAAGAGGAAGGGACGGCUAACUCUGUGCCAGCAGCCGCGGUAAUACAGAGGUCCCAAGCGUUGUUCGGAUUCAUUGGGCGUAAAGGGUGCGUAGGUGGCGCCGUCAGUGGGGUGUGAAAUUUCGGAGCUUAACUCCGAAACUGCAUUCCAUACUGCGGUGCUUGAGGACUGGAGAGGAGACUGGAAUUCAUGGUGUAGCAGUGAAAUGCGUAGAGAUCAUGAGGAAGACCAGUGGCGAAGGCGGGUCUCUGGACAGUUCCUGACACUGAGGCACGAAGGCUAGGGGAGCGAACGGGAUUAGAUACCCCUGUAGU